rnacentral:rRNA from 1 species
UUGGCCUACGGGAGGCAGCAGUGAGGAAUAUUGGUCAAUGGGCUUACGCCUGAACCAGCCAAGUCGCGUGAGGGAAGACUGCCCUAUGGAUUGUAAACCUCUUUUGUCAGGGAGCAACGCCGGCUACGUGUAGCCGGACUGAGAGUACCUGAAGAAAAAGCAUCGGCUAACUCCGUGCCAGCAGCCGCGGUAAUACGGAGGAUGCGAGCGUUAUCCGGAUUUAUUGGGUUUAAAGGGUGCGUAGGCGGAAUGCCAAGUCAGCGGUACAAUCGUGGGGCCCAACCCCAUCCCGCCGU